rnacentral:rRNA from 1 species
UCCCGGCAGUCCAAGUCGCAGCCAGCAUUAUUGGGUCUAAAACAUCCGUAGCUUGUUUAUUAAGUUCUCUGUGAAAUUCUAUAUCUCAAGUAUGGAGCUUGCAGGGAAUACUAAUAGGCUAGAGACCGGAAGAUGCAAGGAGUAUACCUGAGGUAGUAGUAAAAUACGUUAAUCUCAGGCAGACUAACAAUUGGCGAAGGCACCUUGCAAGUACGGAUCUGACAGUGAGGGAUGAAGGCUAGGGGCGCAAAAG